AUCCCACAGGUGUCUUUAAUGAGAACACGACCUCUCUCCCCCAGGGGGCGGCCCCGUCACCGGGCGUCACGUGGACAGGGUGAUGCGGAGCGGUGCGGCGCGGUGCGUGCGGUAAAGCCAUAUAAUUGGUCCUCAUGGCGGCUGUUCGGCGCGUUGAUAGUGCUUGGUGUUUUAUUGCGGCGAGGGUGGCGGCGGGGCGGGAUGACUGGGAUUAGGAGCGAUAAAUUUGGCGGCGGCGUGAGGUAUGGGUUCAGUCAUAACUCAAGACUGUCCUCGCUGCCAGGGGGGCCAACCGUGCUCCGCGGCUGCCGUCCUCACCCGCGAUUAAAAUUUCCAGUGCACGCCAUUUGCAUCUCCUUGUUGGUGUUAAGAUUUAUACGAUGGGUAUCUGGUAGCGAUUAAUUUUCCCUUGUGGUCACACCUCCGGCGGGCGUGUCGCGGCCGAGUUAUGGCGAGCACGGCGAGAUUAAUUGCCGAUUGUGAAUUUAUGGCAGAGACUCCGCUUGUCUGGGCGUGGCAGUGGUGACGGUGCUGCUGGCAGUGUUGGUAGCCCUGCCAGGCUCUCACCCCUGCCAGAGAGACGCGGCAGGGGUGCGGUGGGCGGUACUAAUAAAAAACUCUGCUGAAAUGUCAAGAAUUAUCUCAUCGGCCUCAGUACUCUAAUGAAUCUCUCAGGCCACUCCGGGCGCUCCAGUUCCAAAGUCGGAUACAUGAAAUUGUUUUUUUAGUUGUUUAUUUUUUUCAGACAAUUAUCGUGUAUAAAUUUUGGCUCCGCGAUUGGGUUAGCGCCGCCAUCCCCGCGCCGCGUCCCUCCGGUGAUUGAUUCGCUUGCGUUAAUUACUUCCACGCGGAGAGAGAUAUUGGCGUGUGUGUAACUGUUGCCAAAUACACCAACCAGGGCUAACGAGCGGCUCUCUCUCCCGCCUAACGAUGGGUAAACAAGGCAAAAAUGGCCACGGCGGGGAGGGAGGUGCAAGAAAGGCUGCAGAGUGGUGGUGGUGUUGGAGGGCGUGGGUGCAGGCCGUCACUACCAAGGCGGGGAGCUUGCGCCUUCUUCAGACUCGCAUGUUGAAGAGGCGGCCGUCACAGGGGAGCAGCAGAGGGCGGUAGCACUGAGCGUCACGGCAGCGUCACCCCGGCACAGGACGAAGAAAAGAGCAGGAAAAGGAGGAAGAGGAGGAGGAGGAGAAGGAAGAAGACGAGGAGGGGUGUAUAAUUUACCCUUCUUGACACUUCACACACGUUCCAUCUUACAAAACGACCAGCUCGCCUCAUGAAAUACUGUAUGUCUUACGUAGCGUCGCUUUUUACUCCUUUCACGAAGUCGUCCUGACCACUCGCAACAAUUGUCAUGCGGGGAACGUCGGACCUAAAUUUGACCCAGUGCGCCCUGACCUGCUUCAGAGCCGAGCAGGAGCCACAGAACCUUUUGUGCCGCCACCCCACACGAUGGACUCAAGGAACUCCCACGGAAGCUCGCCCUAUGACCCUGCUGCUGCGUGGAUGUGAAUCAGAAGCCCUGUAAUGUGUGUUUAUAUGAUAGUUAUAAUUUUGUUUAAGGAUUUUUUUGUGAUUCAUUGUAUGCUUGUGUUUUGGGCUCGUGAUUGUGUUUCGUGGGAUUCGUUGUAUCAUUUCGUACGUGUUGUCUUUACCUACUUGACGGUUUCUGAUCAGACCUCCUUCAGCUGUCUCAUUCUGCACACUGAUAGUUCUUAAGCUGAUUAAAGCCUUGGCAAGAGGGCUCCACUCUGUCUCUCUCUGCCCAUUACAUGCCAGUAUUCAGAAACGGUUUUUCUCUUACCACCACUA